UGCUUACCCUGGGCCCACUCUUCUCUCCCAUCUUCUUUUGUCCUCUGGAAGAUACUGGCUGUUGCCUUUCUGCCAGCUAUUCCGUUCCUCUUCUCUGCUUGAAAAAACUUCUCACAUGGGAGCGAUCAACGUGUAGAUGAUGGGCGAAGAAGCUGUGAGGGUUGACAGGAUUAUUCAGGGAACAGAGGGCCCUGCUUCAGAACCUUAAGGAUGAGCUUCCAUUGAGAGCAGUUGGUAGAUGAGGAGUUGGUAGAUGAAUCUGCAAAGAGGUGGCCUGAGAUGGAGGUGGAGAACCAAAAGUGGUCCAGUGGAGGCCAAGGAGACCAAAGUCUGGAUCAGGACAUGGAAGAAACAACCCAGGUUAUAUAUUCUCAUCUAAGUUGGACAUUGAUUUGUAAAUGACGAAUUAGGCUAUUGUUAAUAAGCAGAGGAAGGGGAAAUAAAAGAUUGUCUGAGGAAGGAUCCUGAGAGUUAAGGAAGAACGUGGAAACGUGAAGGCACAGAGGAGAAUGCCAUGGAUAGAGGAAACUGGCAAGCUAUGUCCCAUGGGGUCACAAAGAGUUGGACACAACGGAGCGAUGAACACAGCAACUUAUGUACAUGCACAAAGGUGCCAUCUUCUCAAAAAGGAUUUUCUGCCUGGCCCAGAAUUUUUGACACCGUUUGCCAGCCCUCGUGAACACUUCUGCCUGGCUUAACCACACAAAACUCUGCUUGCAUUGUUAGUGCGUCAUGGAUGUGUUUGUGGCUAGCUGUCUUCACGAGAUUAACCAGACUGCAAGCUUCCUGAGAACAAGUGACCUGCCUUCCUCAUUUCUGCAUACCCAGAAGCAGGUAGCACGGGACUGUGAACUAAAUUUUUAAUGAAGGAUCAUUAGUUUGCUUUUAGUCUUGGGGUGGAGUGAAUAAUAUUUCUUAAGAGAUAGAAAAACUAUUUGCAACAUAACGGUAAAAGAUGAAUGAUGUUAAUAUAUUAAAAUCAGCCUCUAAAAAUCAAUAACACAGGACAAGAGACCCAAUAGGGAAGUCAGCAAUGAAAACUAACAGCAAAUUCACUGAAUAGCCCAUACUUAUGAAAAAGGUCAACUUUACUAGUUAUCGAGGAAAUACAAAUUAGGACAAUGUGAUUCUAAUUUUUGCUUAUCAAACUGGGAAUAUUUAAAAAUGAAUUCUUCAGUGUUGGUAGGAACGUGGUGAAACAGCUAGUCAUUUGCUACAGAAGGGACUGUGCAUGGAUACAGCCUUCCUGGAGAGGAAGCUGGCAAUUUUUUAAAAGAGGCUGAAAAAUGUCCAUGCUUUAAAAGUCUGUAAUUCUGCUUCUAGAGUUUUAUUCUAAGAAUGUAACCAGAGCUGUGCACAUAGAUUAGGUAUAAGGAUG